UGCACAAUCGCUUCCGUGUUCGGCGCGACGCGGCUCCACCGCUUCCGGUUAAAAAUUGCGACGUUCUACACCCGAUGCUUGCAAGAGCUCCCAACAUUAAAUGUCACUGAUGUUCAUCGGAUUUGCAGGACAAUGAAAGCCCCAGCCAGCAAACUGGAUAAAGGAUUUAAAUUAUAUGCUGCAUCAUAUAUACACAACUAUGAAGAUUAAGCUUCUGGAUUCAUCACCAGUGGCGCUGACAUCCAGCCAGUGCUCCUGUGUGGCAGGCACUGUUAUGUGCAAUCACACAGUGGCACUGCUCUUCCAAACAGCGCACUACUCAGAACUCAGAGUUCCUGUUGUCCCUCCUGUCCAUAGCUGCACCGAAUCUGAACAGCAAUGGCACAAGCCACGCACAAUGGGUGUGAAGCCAGGACCCAUCAAUUCUAUGGUCUUCACUAAGCCGGUAC